ACUCUAGAGAUAGAGCUUUCCCCUUCGGGGGACAAAGUGACAGGUGGUGCAUGGUUGUCGUCAGCUCGUGUCGUGAGAUGUUGGGUUAAGUCCCGCAACGAGCGCAACCCUUAAGCUUAGUUGCCAUCAUUAAGUUGGGCACUCUAGGUUGACUGCCGGUGACAAACCGGAGGAAGGUGGGGAUGACGUCAAAUCAUCAUGCCCCUUAUGAUUUGGGCUACACACGUGCUACAAUGGACAAUACAAAGGGCAGCUAAACCGCGAGGUCAUGCAAAUCCCAUAAAGUUGUUCUCAGUUCGGAUUGUAGUCUGCAACUCGACUACAUGAAGCUGGAAUCGCUAGUAAUCGUAGAUCAGCAUGCUACGGUGAAUACGUUCCCGGGUCUUGUACACACCACCCGUCACACCACGAGAGUUUGUAACACCCGAAGCCGGUGGAGUAACCAUUUAUGGAGCUAGCCGUCGAAGGUGGGACAAAUGAUUGGGGUGAAGUCGUAACAAGGUAGCCGUAUCGGAAGGUG
rnacentral:rRNA from 1 species